GACGAACGCUGGCGGCGUGCUUAACACAUGCAAGUCGAGCGGAAAGGCCCUUCGGGGUACCCGAGCGGCGAACGGGUGAGUAACACGUGAGUAAUCUGCCCCAUGCUUCGGGAUAGCCAGCCGAAAGGCUGAUUAAUACCAGAUAUGACAUCUCCUGGCAUCGGGGGGUGUGGAAAGUUUUUUCGGCGUGGGAUGUGCUCGCGGCCUAUCAGCUUGUUGGUGGGGUAAUGGCCUACCAAGGCUUCGACGGGUAGCCGGCCUGAGAGGGUGACCGGCCACACUGGGACUGAGACACGGCCCAGACUCCUACGGGAGGCAGCAGUGGGGAAUAUUGGACAAUGGGCGGAAGCCUGAUCCAGCAACGCCGCGUGAGGGAUGACGGCCUUCGGGUUGUAAACCUCUUUCAGCACAGACGAAGUUUUGUCUUUUUGGGCAAAGUGACGGUAUGUGCAGAAGAAGGACCGGCCAACUACGUGCCAGCAGCCGCCGUAAUAC
rnacentral:rRNA from 1 species